AACGCCCCGCAAGGGGAGUGGCAGACGGGUGAGUAACGCGUGGGAACAUACCCUUUCCUGCGGAAUAGCUCCGGGAAACUGGAAUUAAUACCGCAUACGCCCUACGGGGGAAAGAUUUAUCGGGGAAGGAUUGGCCCGCGUUGGAUUAGCUAGUUGGUGGGGUAAAGGCCUACCAAGGCGACGAUCCAUAGCUGGUCUGAGAGGAUGAUCAGCCACAUUGGGACUGAGACACGGCCCAAACUCCUACGGGAGGCAGCAGUGGGGAAUAUUGGACAAUGGGCGCAAGCCUGAUCCAGCCAUGCCGCGUGAGUGAUGAAGGCCUUAGGGUUGUAAAGCUCUUUCACCGAUGAAGAUAAUGACGGUAGUCGGAGAAGAAGCCCCGGCUAACUUCGUGCCAGCAGCCGCGGUAAUACGAAGGGGGCUAGCGUUGUUCGGAAUUACUGGGCGUAAAGCGCACGUAGGCGGAUAUUUAAGUCAGGGGUGAAAUCCCGCAGCUCAACUGCGGAACUGCCUUUGAUACUGGGUAUCUUGAGUAUGGAAGAGGUAAGUGGAAUUCCGAGUGUAGAGGUGAAAUUCGUAGAUAUUCGGAGGAACACCAGUGGCGAAGGCGGCUUACUGGUCCA
rnacentral:rRNA from 1 species